GCCAACUCAGCCAUUCUAUUGCCUUCUCUCUUUUCUCUCACCAUACCCAUCCUCUCUCCACCGAAACCCAAUCUCUAAUAUCGCACCUCAAUCAAUUCACCGGUCGAUAUGGCUUUAGCCAACUUCACUUCCUCUUCUAGAUCCAAUCUCCUUAAACCUCUUGCCCCCGUCUUGUCCUUCGCUGAGACUCUCCGCCGUCCGAUCUCCACCUCGACCGAUCCCCUCAUUAUCGAGACAUCUGUUCCCUUCACUUUUCACAAUUGCGAGCCUCCUUCCCGUUCUGUGGAGACCAAUCCCCAAGAGCUAAUCUCCUUCUUCCGCGGCAUGGCUACUAUGCGCCGGAUGGAGAUCGCCGCCGACUCUCUCUACAAGGCCAAGCUUAUCCGUGGGUUCUGUCACCUCUACGAUGGGCAGGAAGCGGUGGCUGUAGGGAUGGAAGCUGCUAUUACUAAAAAAGACUGCAUCAUAACAGCAUACCGGGAUCACUGUACGUUCGUCGGGCGAGGUGGGACCCUUCUGGAGGUCUUCGCGGAACUCAUGGGACGCCAGGCUGGGUGUUCGAGAGGGAAGGGUGGGUCAAUGCAUUUCUACAAGAAGGAGGCAGGAUUUUAUGGAGGACACGGGAUCGUAGGAGCUCAGGUGCCACUAGGUUGCGGAUUGGCUUUCGCGCAGAAGUAUUCUAAGGAUGAGACUGUGACGUUUGCUCUGUACGGAGAUGGUGCGGCCAAUCAGGGACAGUUGUUCGAGGCGCUUAAUAUCUCUGCUCUUUGGGAUCUGCCUGUCAUUUUGGUCUGCGAGAAUAAUCACUGUAACAUCAGAAUAUUUUCCCCUUUAUUGAUUUGCUUCUGCUUUUUGGUCGGGUUGCGUGAGUUAUAAGCGAUUUCAAUUGGAUGUUUUAUGCGCAGAUGGUAUGGGGACGGCAGAGUGGAGAGCUGCUAAGAAUCCGGCUUAUUACAAGCGUGGGGAUUACGUUCCUGGUUUGAAGGUAGAUGGCAUGGAUGCCCUUGCUGUGAAACAAGCAUGCAAAUUUGCAAAGGAGCAUGUCUUGAGGAAGGGACCAAUUAUACUUGAAAUGGAUACCUACAGGUAUCAUGGUCACUCCAUGUCUGAUCCUGGCAGCACCUACCGUACUCGUGAUGAGAUUAGUGGUGUGAGACAGGAACGUGACCCAGUUGAAAGGAUAAGAAAGGUGAUAUUAGCUCACGAUCUAGCUACAGAGAAAGAGCUAAAGGAUUUUGAGAAAGAAAUAAGAAAAGAAGUAGAUCAAGCCAUUGCUCAAGCCAAGGAAAGUCCGAUGCCAGAACCCUAUGAACUUUUCACAAAUGUGUAUGUGAAAGGUUUGGGAACUGAGGCAUUUGGAGCAGAUAGGAAAGAAGUUAGAGCUGUACUUCCAUAAUGGAAUAUAUGAAGAAAAUGUUGAACCCACCCCACUCUCAAAACCCUUUUACUCGACAAAAAUGAUCCAAUAUCAAAUAAAUGUUAGCAAGGAUGGGUCUCUUCCAGGCAAUGAUUUUGUUUCACAUUUCUGUAUAGAAUACUGAUUCUUCUUAAGGUGUGGGGUGGAAAUGUUACUUUGUGUAGUUUUCUUUGGAGGAACAACAGUCGGAUAUCUGUGAUCAUCAAUUGAAUGGGUUGCUAAUGUGCUCUGGAAUACAAGAAUAUCCAUUGAUAUGUGUAGAGUUCUUUUAUUUUCUGCUCAUUUUUUAUCAGAUUAUGGCUGCCAUAAGCAUCCUUUUAUCCUCUUGCCAAUAGGGGCUGUAUCGCCCUGCGACUAAUUAUAUUACAUUUUGUUUUAUUCACUUUUGAGAAUAAUUGGGGUAUGUAAUGCUAAACGCAUGCCAUACUAAUUUUGGUUCAGGUGUCGUAUAAAGUCUGUUGAUGCGAGUAAACUAUGUUGGUAAGCUGGUAUCCCAUGUGAUGUUGUUUGGCUUUUGGUUAGGGUUGUGUUGAAAGUUACAUUACAGAUGCAGUUGGAACAUGUAGUGGUUACUGUCCCGAGUUUCACGAGUGGAUUUAGUCCACGGAAUGAGUACAACUCUUGGAUGUGAGCUAUUUUAUU
rnacentral:misc_RNA from 1 species